rnacentral:rRNA from 1 species
UCCGUAGGUGAACCUGCGGAAGGAUCAUUACUGUAUUCUAAUUGCCAGCGCUUAAUUGCGCGGCGAUUAAACCUUACACACAAUGUUUUUCUUUAUUAGAAACUAUUGCUUUGGCUUGGCUAAGAAAUUAGUCGGGCCAGAGGUUUACACAAACUUCAAUUUUUAAUUGAAUUGUUAUUUAAUACUUUGUCAAUUUGUUGAUUAAAUUCAAACAAUCUUCAAAACUUUCAACAACGGAUCUCUUGGUUCUCGCAUCGAUGAAGAACGCAGCGAAAUGCGAUAAGUAAUAUGAAUUGCAGAUUUUCGUGAAUCAUCGAAUCUUUGAACGCACAUUGCGCCCUCUGGUAUUCCAGAGGGCAUGCCUGUUUGAGCGUCAUUUCUCUCUCAAACCCUUGGGUUUGGUAUUGAGUGAUACUCUUAGUCGAACUAGGCGUUUGCUUGAAAUUUAUUGGCACGAGUGACGCUGAGAAGUGCAUUCAGGAAAUAUCAAUGUAUUAGGUUUAUCCAACUCGUUGACAAUUCUUGGUUGUGAAUUUUUGGUGUUAGGCUUUGCCUUAAAAAACAACAAACAAGUUUGACCUCAAAUCAGGUAGGAUUACCCGCUGAACUUAAGCAUAUCAAUAAGCGGAGGAAAAGAAACCAACAGGGAUUGCCUUAGUAACGGCGAGUGAAGCGGCAAAAGCUCAAAUUUGAAAUCUGGCACCUUCGGUGUCCGAGUUGUAAUUUGAAGAAGGUAACCUUGGGGUUGGCUCUUGUCUAUGUUUCUUGGAACAGAACGUCACAGAGGGUGAGAAUCCCGUGCGAUGAGAUGCCCAAUUCUAUGUAAGGUGCUUUCGAAGAGUCGAGUUGUUUGGGAAUGCAGCUCUAAGUGGGUGGUAAAUUCCAUCUAAAGCUAAAUAUUGGCGAGAGACCGAUAGCGAACAAGUACAGUGAUGGAAAGAUGAAAAGAACUUUGAAAAGAGAGUGAAAAAGUACGUGAAAUUGUUGAAAGGGAAGGGUAUGAGAUCAGACUUGGUGUUUUGCAACCUUACUCUCGGGUGGGGCCCCUGCAGUUCAUCGGGCCAGCAUCAGUUUGGAUGGUAGGAUAAUGGCAUUGGAAUGUAGCUUGGCUUCGGUUAAGUGUUAUAGCCUUUGUUGAUACUGCCUGUCUAGACUGAGGACUGCGUCUUUGACUAGGAUGCUGGCAUAAUGAUCCUAUACCGCCCGUCUUGAAACACGGACCAAGGAGUCUAACGUCUAUGCAAGUGUUUGGGUGUAAAACCCGUACGCGUAAUGAAAGUGAACGUAGGUCUGAGCUCUCUGAGUGCAAGAUCGACCGAUCCUGAUGUCUUCGGAUGGAUUUGAGUAAGAGCAUAGCUGUUGGGACCCGAAAGAUGGUGAACUAUACCUGAAUAGGGUGAAGCCAGAGGAAACUCUGGUGGAGGCUCGUAGCGGUUCUGACGUGCAAAUCGAUCGUCGAAUUUGGGUAUAGGGGCGAAAGACUAAUCGAACCAUCUAGUAGCUGGUUCCUGCCGAAGUUUCCCUCAGGAUAGCAGAAGCUCGUAUCAGUUUUAUGAGGUAAAGCGAAUGAUUAGAGGUAUUGGGGUUGAAAUGACCUUAACCUAUUCUCAAACUUUAAAUAUGUAAGAAGUCCUUGUUGCUUAAUUGAACGUGGACAUAUGAAUGAAGAGCUUUUAGUGGGCCAUUUUUGGUAAGCAGAACUGGCGAUGCGGGAUGAACCGAACGUGAAGUUAAAGUGCCGGAAUGCACGCUCAUCAGACACCACAAAAGGUGUUAGUUCAUCUAGACAGUUGGACGGUGGCCAUGGAAGUCGGAAUCCGCUAAGGAGUGUGUAACAACUCACC